rnacentral:lncRNA from 1 species
CCUGGGUUCAGCCCUUAGUACUGUAAAACAAACAAAACCCCAACAAACAAACAAAAAAACCCCAGCAGCCUCUAUGGCAACCCUGGUCACUAUGGCAACCAUGAAACCUAGAACUAUCCAGUCAAUAAGGCCAGCAGACCAGGUUUGGAGCUCUGCUCAAAAAGUGCUGAUUUGAAGCACUAUCAUUAUGUGACCAUCUGGCAGUUUCCUGGAAAACUAUCAUUUGAAGGACCCAUUAUUUGACCUGACUCAGCAACUCACUGGGGAAAGCCUUAUUCCCAGGGAAUGUGCCUAAAUCAGUCAGUGACAACUAUACAACAUGUAACAUUGCAGCUGCCUGAGGCUGCAAUACCAGUUGAGGGGUCAUGAAACAUCUACUUCAAGAGUUGUUAUGCUGAUUAAAUGCAAUUAUGAAGCUCCUGAACCAGCAGUCCUUCCCGGCACAGGUUUGAACUCCUUCUUAUCAGUUGCUAGUCCAGCUUUCUUACCAUGUACCAGCUCUACUUUUUCUGAACAUUCUUUGAUCUGGAAAAUGAAAGUGAGAUGAACACGUAAGUCCAACUUUGAAACAUAACAACCCAACAGCCAGGCCAGUAAGACAUUUUGCUGCCAGAGCUACCAACAUGACAUUGGUGUCCUUUCCAACAACCUACAAUGGAAGAAAAAGGAAAACAAGACAGUCACAACUGUGUAGAAGAGUACUGAAAAACAUUCUCAAAAGAACUCUGAAAGCUACUGUGCUAAUGGAUGAUCCAUCUUAUUUCCUAUAAAAGAGGAAACCUUAUUCCUCUUUGAUAAUAAUGAAUCUAGAAGCCUUUGUCAUGUUCAGUCUAUCUUUAAGUUCUACAUAAAGCACACAUAAAACAACUUCAAAUCGCUUGACACAGGUGGCAAUUUGGGCUGUCACCAUCACACAGCUGCAGGAGGUGACUCAGAUAACGGCGAUGCUGCAGGUUUACUUUUGGAACAAGAAAAUUAAAAAAGUGUACUUAACACCACAGGGCCCAAAGUAGGUAACUACAAUGUCUAAUAUUUAUACUCAUGAAGUACCAACAGAAACUUUGAAGUUCAGAACUCAAAAUUUCAAAUGCAUCUGAGGGAGUGCCUAGCUUUGGAGCUGCCACUGUAGUCAUACAAGGACAGUCAUAUAACCUCUGAGAAAUGGAAAGCCCACAGAAUACUGAAAAAAAGACAGUUUUAAAAAUAAUUUCAGAAAUCCAAAAGGAAUUUCAAAAUAAGUUUUUUACUGUUUACACUAGAAGAAAAAAAUGGGAAAUUAAUUAGAUUACUUGAUUUAGAUAACAGAGAGAAAACAAUAUUAACUGUAGGAGGAGGAAUCAAGUCUGUAUCUUAAUUCCUUAAUAUCAUUCUUUUUUUUUUUUUGUAGUACCAGGGAUUGAACUCAGGACUUGUGAGGCAGGCACAGCACCACUGAGCUAAAUCCCCAGCCCUCUUAAUAUCAUUUUUUUCUUCCCAUUUUCCCAUUUUUGAUAUGCUGCUGUGAAGUCAACAUAAUAUGAAGUUUGCAUAUUUGUGUGUGCACCUAAGUAAAAUCAAAUAUAAAUAUUGCGAUGUCAUGGUUCAGAUUAAUUCACACAAUGAUGAAAUUAAGUUUUCAUCAUUUUAAAUAUUUUAGCCACAAAAUUAACUUUCUUUUUACUUGCAGCUUUUGACUGAUAAAGUUUCUACAGCUGCCUAGAUUUCUCAGGUAUCUACUGACUAUGUCUACUCAGACUAUGUCAUGGGCUGGAGCUGUAACUCAGUGGUAGACCAUGUGCUGAGCAUACUCGAGACCCUGAGUUUGAUCCUCAGUACCACAAAUAAGGAGAGGAAAAAUAAGAAUAAGAAAAAGAAAAAGGAAACCAACAGUUCCCUUUGUAUGCAACACAGUGAGAUUACAGUUAUAGUCACAAUGCCAACAGAAAUCACAGAACUGUCUUUGAAAAGCUAACAACCUAAAAAAAAUGUGUAUAGAGAAUACCCAUUCCUAUUAAAGACAAAAAUAAAAAGCUAUUUCCUGUUUCUUAGUGUCCUCUUCCUCUCUCCUUCCCAUUCUUUCCUCCAGAUCUCAGGUCGCUAACUCCUUUUCCCUCAGGGAAAUUGUUUUUUUAAUUAAUCAUGUCUAUGGCCCUUUAAAAUACAAAAUUGGUGAAUGAACAAAGAUCUGACAAAUCAUAUCCUUGCCAUCAAGUCCCAUUUGGAGGAAAGCAUAGGAAAGUCAACUACUACAGUAUUAGGA